CAGCCAUGAAUAAGCAGUCAAGCGGACGGGGCGCGGGGAUAAAUAGAGCAGUUCUUUCUCUGUGAUUCAAGUCUUACUUGGAGACAAGCACAAGAAAUCCACUUCUUCAACAAAAGGUUGAUUCGAGAACAUGGCCUCGUUCAAGAUCGUUAUCGUUUGCUUGGCACUUUUGGUUGCCGUCGCCUGCGCUCGCCGCCGCGACAUGAUGUCCGAUGAUGAGCUU